AGAGCGAACGCUGGCGGCAGGCCUAAUACAUGCAAGUCGAACGGACCCUUCGGGGUUAGUGGCGGACGGGUGAGUAACACGUGGGAACGUGCCCUUUGGUUCGGAACAACUCAGGGAAACUUGAGCUAAUACCGGAUGUGCCCUUCGGGGGAAAGAUUUAUCGCCAUUGGAGCGGCCCGCGUCUGAUUAGCUAGUUGGUGGGGUAAAGCCCACCAAGGCUACGAUCAGUAGCUGGUCUGAGAGGAUGAUCAGCCACACUGGGACUGAGACACGGCCCAGACUCCUACGGGAGGCAGCAGUAGGGAAUCUUGCGCAAUGGGCGAAAGCCUGACGCAGCCAUGCCGCGUGAAUGAUGAAGGUCUUAGGAUUGUAAAAUUCUUUCAGCGGGACGAUAAUGACGGUACCGCAGAAGAAGCCCCGGACUAACUUCGCGCCAGCAGCCGC
rnacentral:rRNA from 1 species